CCGCCACCACGCCCGGCUAAUUUUUUGUAUUUUUUAGUAGAGACAGGAUUUCACUGUUUUAGCCAGGAUGGUCUCGAACUCCUGACCUCGUGAUCCUCCCGCCUUGGCCUCCCAAAGUGCUGGGAUUACAGGCGUGAGCCACCGUGCCCCGCAGAGAGUGUCCUUAAAGAGUUUCACAGACUAUGUAGUAUGGAUUCCUACAUGCAGAAUCCAAGCCACAUCCAGGUUUUACCACGAUGCUCCCAGCCUCCUGCCUAAAGUGGCACUGUUAAUCACCCACAAAUCCUGAGCCCUGAAGAUGGCAGUCCUCUGAUGACAGGGGACAGAAGACCUGCAGUCCAGCUUAUAACCUACAGCUGGGCCCUAAAUGAGACAACUUCCUUUCCCCUGAGUCAAAUUAGGGGCAAGAUGAAAUGAGCUUGCAAACUUCUGCGGCCCUAUUUGGCAACCAGAGAGAUGAGUUUUCCCCUAAUCUCUCUAUUUCAAGAAGAUCCAGCAAGCAAGAUCUUUAAACGGAGGAAGUUUAAGCAAGGGACUAGUAGGCAUUAUGUUCUCCUAAGCACAGACACGAAAGGGCAGAGUACUUGGGCAUAGAAGCCUAGAAUCUAUUGUUGCCUCUGUUUCCUCAAGACGGAAACACUCAUAUGGAAGAACCGCGAUCUCAGGCACCUUUGGGAAUUUUCCUGAGCAGCCCCCAAAGUGCUGUUGUAAAAUUAACUGUAAUUAGGAUUAUUGUUUAAACAAACUGUCACUUAUAUCUAAUUACCAUGUAAUACAAUCAAAAUUAUCAUGAAAUACAUGUCAGAUUCACUUUGUGGUAGACUUUAUGUGAUUACAAUCUUUACCUUCUGUGGAUUUUUUUCCUUGGUAGUUUACUACUUACUUGUUACAUUACAUGUGCAGAACUAAAAGCAUUUAAGAAAUGAGUGGCUGGGAUAGAGACCCCUUUCUUGUCCUGUUUUUCAUUCAUUAUUUAUGAAUAAAUAAGAAAGAAGUAUUAUUUUUAUGAUUAUCUUUUGUGACAGGGUCUUGCUAUGUUGUCCAGGCUGGUCUUGACCUCUCCCGGGUUCAAGUGAUCCUCCUGCCUCCGCCUCCUGAGCAGGUGGGAAUACAGGCACGUGCCACCGUGCCAGGCUCCUGCUUUUCUUUCUUUUCUUCCUAAAGAGGGUGAGAAGGUCUUUCAGCCUGAUGUCUUCCAUCUUGAUCAAUAAAGGCAGAGCGCCUAUCCCCCUACCUUCUAGAGUCAUUUUCGUGGGAAGGUGGCUGUUGUGGCUGCACAGAAGGGAGUCGCAUGCGGGCUGGGUGGGCCCAGUCUCACCGAGACCCUGAUGGGCCAGUGUCUCGGGUGGGGUCUGUGCAGCAUACUGAACACAGCGGCGAUCCUGAGGGACCCGUGAUGCUUCUAGCCCAAACCUGCCCCGCUGGGUCUUGGCCGAUGGACCAGCAGGGGCCGCCGAGUGCCGACCCCCGGGUGGGCCUGCCUCACCCGGCGGAGAAUGCACAGCCACUCUGUGGGAACCGAGGAGCUUCCGCACCACUCAGGCCUGGCUAGGAGCCCAAGCGCAGAAAAGGUAGGGGCGCAGCCACAUCGGUGGGCCAGGGCAGUCUGCCAGGCGGGACCUUGGGACGGGGCUGGAAUCCCCUAGGCACGGCCAGGAGGUUAGCCUUCUGCCAAUGACCCCGUUUAAAGCCCAGGUCCAGAACAGGUGCUUGGUGGCCUGCUGCGGAAGGUGGCAUCCCGCCUUUGCUGCCUAUAACUCCCCUCCCCAAACUCGCACACCUCCCAGCCACCCCCGUACACACAUGGCCAGCUUCUGCGAGUUUCUUCCUCUAAUUUUCCCAUGCCCACCAAUACUUCCCUUUCUAUGCCCACUUCCUUUCCAGUCCAAUCCCAUUCUUGACUUUCCAGAGUGACAAUCACCUCUUUGGAUAAAUCAGAUUCAUGCUAACAAUGUUAGUGUAUAAAUAAUUUCCAGUAAUCCCCUGCACUUGAUUUCAAUUCAGCAAACAUUUAUGGAGCAAUUCCAUAGACUGGGCCCUAGAGAAAAAUCAAACUUAAACAAAAUCCAGCCCCUCAAGGCUUUACACAGCUAGCGCAUUUUUUCCUCAAAAGAGUUGUUUUUAGGUGGUACCAUAAUGAGAUUUUUAAAAUUUUAAUAAUGUCAUUUACAUGUUAACAUGCUGUAAGAGUAUAACAAGUACAUGAAAUCCAUUAUUUCAAGAUUACUUUUGUUUAGAGUGAGGCUAAAGAAGGUAGUAUGUAAAAUAAGUGAGGCUACUUGAAGAAGAAUAUUCAGUAAAUGACACCGAAAUGGCAAAAUCUGUGCAGAUGAUGGACUCAUGGCUAAUUUCUAGGAAGCAGGAACUCAAUGGGAGAGGAAGACUGUAUCCAAACGACAUGUAAUCCUAACAGGGAAACUGAGAGGGGGAAAUUACUUGCGGCUUUGGGAACACGGAAGGCUUCUUGGAGGAGGUAGCAUUUGAGAUGGGCCUUGAUGGACAGCAGAAAUAAAACUAAUGUUGAACGGUAAGGUGGAAAUGGAUCAUAAGGAGUUAAGAACUGGGGUUUUUUCCUUUUCCCUUAGUGACCUGUGCAAAUAAUAUAACAAAAGAGGCUUUCCUGAAGGCAGGGAUCUUCAUACUGUGGGUGAGAUCAAUGGGUCAGAAAAUUGAUUUACUGGAAUAUGACUGGCAUCUAAAAUACUGACCAACAGUUACUGUCAAAGUGCAGCUUCCAGCAUAAGCAUAAGCAGUGCGAAACUUUUGUUUCCAAGUGAAGAUGGAGUCAUUUGAGUCCUGUGAAAUGGUCACAGUCAAGGAAGUCUGAAACCCGUUACCCUGUGUGUGAUGCACUUUCAAGCAUGGUGGAGCCUCAGGAGGAAUCUAUUGCUGGUCCCCUCUCAAGUUGGGGCACACAGAAGUCAUCUGUGUUGGCUCCACUUCAACCUUCCCAUUCCCAGCAAGUCUUUUUUCAGUCUGCUGGGAUAAUGUAGGAAGUUUUGGCAGCUGUCAGAGGAUGACAGAGCUUUAUGGGGCAUACUUCAUGGCUGAGAGUGAGUUUUUAACUGAGGCCAACCUGGGUUUUUUGUUUUUUUGGGUUUUUUUUUUUUUGCACUUUAUUUAUCAACUAGAUACAAUACAAUAUUGAGCUUUUUUAUUGCUAUUUAUUUAUCAACUAGCCUUAUUUAUCAACUAGAUACAUAAUAAACUGUGCAUAUUGAAUGUAUACAAUUUGAUGAAUUUGGACAUAUGCAUACACCCAUGAAACCAUCAUCACAAAAAAAGUAAUAAACAUAUCCACUACCUCCAAAACUUUCCCUAUGCCGUGUGUGUGUGUGUGUGUGUGUGUGUGUGUGUGUGUGUGUGUUAAGAGCACUUACUAUGAGAUAUACCCUAUUAACAAAAUUGUAAGUGCAUUCAGUAUUGAUGACUUUGGUAGUAUCGUUGGCUAUAGGUGCAAUGCUAUACAGCAGAUCCCUAGAACUAAUUCAUCUUGCAUAACUGAAACUUUAUAGAGGUUCCUCAAACAAUUAAAAAUAGAACUACCAUAUGAUCCAGCAAUCCGACUUCUGAACGUAUACCCAAAAGAACUGAAAUCAGGAUCUCAAAGAGAUGUCUGCACACCCAUGUUCGUAGCAGCACUGUUGACAAUAGCCAAGAUAUGGAAAUAACUCCACCUGGUUUCCAUCCUUUGCUAAUUGGGUUAGCCAGUCUGGGGACUGCAGUUACCCAAGCCAUAUUGCUUGUGACUGGACUAUGUUUGGUGGGGUGUCUCUGAGGCCCGAGGCUCCCCAUUGCCAGCUUGGAAUAGUGACAGGAUCUGAAGCUCCCAGCGUGAGGUGUGUGUGAGCUGGUGCAGGAUCCAGUCUGUGUGGGAGGACGUGGGAUGAUGCCUCUUCAAAGUAAAAAGUGAUGGCCUCAGUGGCACACAUUUAAAUUCGCUGCAGGAAAAUAAGCACACAGCAGCUAUUUUUAAUUUGCCUUAGAACAUGCAAGAGCCAGCAUUGCUCAUAGAGCAAAAUAUUGGCUUUGGAUAGAGGAGAUGAAGAGUUUCUGAGUUUCACUUCUCACUUCUUUGCUGAGAGACACUGGGAAAGAGCUCAGGGAAGACAGCAAGUGGCUGAACUGGGCCAUUUGUGAGCCGGUACGAGUUCACCUUCAGUGUCGCCACACUCCUUUCAUCUCUGAGGACCCCAAGCUUGUUCCCCUAGCACCGCAGGUCAACUCCUUCAUAUAGUACUGUUCCCUCUCUCAAGGUCUGCUCCCAGGCAAAGUUCUGGAAGUUGUUUUCUCAAUCUGGUGUAAAAGACUGAUAAUAGCUUGCACGUACCUUUGCAGACGUUUUUGUAUUUCGACAAGGCUGAACACCUUAAUGCCAAGCUGUGCUGCUCCAGUUGGCCUGCCCGGCACAUCAGUGGGCAGCGUGUCUGUAAGGGGAGGGGCCUUUCCUGACACAGCUGGAGCACAGCAUGUAGUAGCUGUUUAUUCCACCUCGGCAGACAGUCAGAUUUAGUUGACACUACUUAGAAUUAGAUUUUUAAAGCUGGAAAGAACCUGGUCGAAUUUCCUUCCAUUAAAGAUAAAGAAACAGACCUGGAGGCCUGAUGUCACUUCAGUUCAAUUCAACAGGUGUUUUCUAAGCACCUACUGUGUGCCAGACACCAGCCUGACAUAAGAGAAGCAAUGAGUGAUAUGAUACGGCACUUGGCCUCCGUCUUCCCACCCUCACACGGUCAGGCGGGGCAGAUGCAGGACUGCAUUCUUGCUUCUGCAGGCAGGUGCACUAAGAGUGGGCAGACAGACCACCAGUAGGGCCAGUGUUGGAAAUCAUUCUUCAAUUUGCUAGAACUGUGAAGAAUGACUCAUACAGCACUCCCAGAAGGGUACCGUCAUUGUCAUAUCUCUGAAAUCUUGGGAAAUAAAGUUAGAUCUCAAAUGUAGGGAUUAGGGACACAAACCCAGGAAGUUCAUAACUGUAAACUUCUCUCAAUUCAGUUGAAUUCAACAAACAUUUGUUGAGUGCUUAUUUGUGCCCAUUACUGAGAAGGGUACCAAGAGCACAGAAAAUACCUGUUGAAUUGCUAACAUAAGAAAGUCUUGUGGCAAAGCGUGAUGUGGUUUUCAAACUGCAGCUCUCUGCCCCCUAGUGAGUCAUGACAUCAGCUUAGUGUAUAGUAGACACAACUUAGGCGUAGAGAAAAGGAAAUAGAAUAGAAAAAAAUAAGAGCACUUUACACAAAUUAAAGGUCAAUAGUGUUUCACAAAAUAUGGUGUAUAUGUGAGUGUGUGUAUAUAAUCAAUAGCAUGUGUGCAUAUAUAUGUUUAACAGAUUCUUACUGAGGAUUAUGAUAUAAGAGAAAAUUUGUAAGUCAUGAUUUACAACACAUACCAUAGGAAGAGGUGAUGCUUCAGGCUAUGUGCCUGUGGUAGAACCAACUAGAAUGUAAGUUAAUAGACAGUGUAUCAGUUAUGGAUUGCCAGAGUCAUGCUGCAUAACACAUUACCACAAAACCUCAGUGGCACACAAGAGUACUCACUGGUUUUCUCAGGUGCCUGCUCAUCAGCUAGAGAAUUCUGUUGGCCAUAGUUAGCUGGAUCACACAUCUGAAACCCGGCAGGCCAUUGGCUGACCUAAGAUGAGCUUGGCUGGGAACCAGGGCACCGUGGCUUGUUCCGUGUAUCUCUCCUCUUCCAGCAGACGAGCGUGGGCAUGUUCUCAGGGAGAUCAAAUGAGAGAGAGGACACACACAUUGUGCAUACCUUUUAAAGCCUCUUUGGCAUCAUGUUUUCUAAUUUUCCACUGACCAAAGUCACAAGCCAAGCUCCAAAUUAUAUGGCAAAGAGUGUGGGCCAUUUUUACAGUUUACCACAACAAUAAGCAGUAAGGUUGGAUUUGCUCUGAUUCAUCCUGUCCCCAGACUCUUGGCUUUCCCUUUUUUUUAUCUUGAUUUGAGCAUCUGGUGCCUACAACUCCAGAGGGUAUGGCUAGAGCCUUUAUUCCCUUUGCAACCUAAUAGGUGAAAAAGUUACAGAUGGACAGCAAGGAGGGGCCCUAGGGAGACCCACUAGAAAGAAGAUACAAUACAGGACCUGGCAGGGACCUGGCAUCUCCUGGCAGGGCAGGGCUGGGUGGAGGGCAGUCAGGAGAGAGGGUGUGAGGGAAUCUACAGGAGGGAAUUUGACAACUUGGAACAUCCUUGUUCUUCCCAAUUUUGUAUUCAAUUCAAUCAACUUGUUCCAGGAAGAGGAUAAAUUAAUCCCAUUUCUAAUGUAGAAAAAAACAAGCCUUCUAUUCCUGCCACUAAUCCGUGAUGUGACCUUCGACAAGAUACUUCUCUGGGUCUCAGUUUCCCCACUGUAAAGGAAGGGGGAUGACUCUAUGGGUUGGAUGGUGCCUUCCAGCUUCGUCUUCUCUGCCUUCCUCCAAUGCCUUGCUCAUGGUACAGAUGCAUUGCUUAAGGCCCACUCCACCCUCCAGUGCUCAGGACACAGAGCUAAUCCAUCCUAACCUUCCCUAUUAGGGUGGUCAUUGCCCUAAUAGCCUUCUCAACAUCCCCCUCCACUGCUAUAGCUGACCAGUGUAUACAGGCAAGAUGAGCUCUGCCAUGCUUAUUUGGUAAAGCUGGAGGAAGCAACUCUCUUUAUUUCUAAGCCACUAAGAGGCCAUGGAAUAUACCCAAGCAGCUGGAAAAGCAGCAAUGUACUCAUUUCAGAUUAAUUUAGAGAAGCGAGCUGGAAAAUGCUUGGGCCGUGCCUUGCAACAAAUUUGGAUCCUCUUAAAAGCUCACAUAAGCUGUGAUAUCCUGAUGGUAGGAAGUCUUUAAUACUCACUGGGGGAAGGGGAAGGAUCUGACUCUUUAAAGGUCACUGUUACUUUUAACUAUUUUAAAAGAAUAAUAAAGGAAGAACACCUUCAAGUAAAGGCAUUUAAGGUUCAUUUCUAAGGGACCAGCAACUUGGGUUAGAACAAUUUACACUAAUUUUACACUGGAUGAGAAGAGAGGUGAUAGGGGACAUUAGAGACCGGCAAGUCCACACUGCUCCCCCUCUGCUCAUCCAUCUGUGCUGUCCCUGGAGGUAGCUGGGGACCUCAAGCAGAGUCUGGAGAAGGGGGCUUGAGUGACCAGUGAGCAGCGUGGCUCUCCUGUGCUGGGAUCCUGGUUCCAGCACUUACUAGCUGUGGGAAGCCUGGCAAGUUCAUCAACCUUUCUGUGCCUCAGUUUCCUGAUCUAUAAAAUGGAGACAAUAAUUGUAUCUCUCCUACAGAGUUGAUGAGAGGAUUAACACAAACGUGCAUGUAAAAGACUCAAUGCUUGGCACAUAAUAACCUCAACAGAGGCUAGAUAUUAGUGACAGUGCUGUCAAGCCUGCAUUCAUUAUUUUAAAAUUAAAGUACUUUUCUAAUUUUUGGCUCCUAACAUGGCUAAAAAGACAACCCUCUUUCAAAUUUCAGCUUGUGUUGGGUUUGAAAGUCCCCAGCACAAUCGCCCCCACCAUUUUUUCCCUCCUUCCCUUGCUUAAGCAAUAUCUGGUCUCCAUUUUUACACAAGUGGUUUAACAAUCUAGAUUCACUGACGAGCUCCCCUUAGACUUCCCUCCUUUCCUCUUCAUCUGGACAAGCUGCUGGGGAAUCCUCUGAAUUUCAACCCCGGGGAAGCCCCAAACCUUCUGGAGUCACUUUCUCUUUUAGAAUCUUAAGACCAUUGAUUAUAUCUGUCUAUUUUCUGAAGCUGUAGAGACAGCCACUCAAGAAACAGAAUUUCAAAAGGAUACUAUAUUCGAUGAAUUAGUCAAUUCCCUUGUGGUAGACAUGAAAUUAUCCCUAAACCACCCCAACAGAGGAGACUCUUACAGUGAGAGGCAAAGAGAUGCUGGGUUUUAACAAUAGGAGAGCUCAUUUGCAAUGCAAAUGAGCAACCAGCAGGCAAAUGAACCCUUAUGGGAAAACCACUCUAAUCAUAAAACCUAUUUGCUUUGGGGAAACUGCAAUGUAAGGACAAGCAGAAUCAUAGCUCCGUGAAUUCCCUCUAAUAUAGGAUAUUAGGGAAUUAUCCAGGUAGUUUUCUAUGAAAUUGUGCUUGAAUGAAACAAAAUGCAUUGCUGGGCGGUAGAUAAUAUCUUUAAAAAUUGAAUCCACAAUUGCAGACUAAAUUAUUUAUGGUUGUCACUAUAGCUGUGAUAGUUUGGAUAUGAAAUAGUCAGGCCUUUCCCUUUGUUUUUAUUUGUAGGAAAACAAGUCAUUCAAGCUUUUUAGUGAUACAAUGUGACUUGCUGUCGAUGGCAGUUACGAAUUUCCAAGCCCUGCCAAGCACAGGAGUACCCAGAAGGGACAUAUGUUUUCUCUGCUUUGUGUUCCAAAUUUGCCUUAAAAACAUGCAAUUAUGUGAAGGCCUGAUAUAUAUUUUCAAGGAAAAGCACAAUAAUGGCCCUGUUUUCUAGCUGUGUUUCUCCAAAACGUAUUUAUAUUGCUGCCUUUAAAAAAGAAGUUGGCUAAUGAUCACUGGAUUUUUGCUUUCCUUCGUGACAUAUGAAAAUUUGAUGGGGUCUGUGAGAUUUAAGAACUGUUUUCUUAAGUGCAAAGGAAAUUUAGUUAACAUAGUGUGUGCCAAGAGCCUGACAAAUCUUCUGUAGUUACCUUUCAUCCAUUUCCUUAUUUUUGUGAAGGGUGGGAGAAGGGAGGCAGGAAGUGAGAGAAGAUGUGGCCAGAGGCAGUGAUGGUAGCGUGACCCCAGAGGACAGACAGCAAACCUCAGCCGGCUCCUAAGGCAUGACAGGUGUGGGUGUGUCAUGCUUGUUGGUGGAGGUGGGGUGAGGUGGGAUAUUUGUUGCGGAUGGCUCUGAGGAGAAGUUGUGAAGGGAAAAAGGCUUUUUGGUUGCAUUUUAUGCUUAAAUGAAAAUUACUGUAAAACCCUUUAUAAAUUAUAUAAUCACACUCCCUUUAGAUUUCAUGCCCUUCAUUGCUAUUAUUAAUGAUGGCUUUCACUCCACUGUCUCAGCAGCAUUUCCAGGAAAUUUAUUGAGACAAGAUGAGUUAGUCUCUUUCUGGAUUGGGGAGCCCCCUCCUGGGAGGUAGGGCAAUUUUUGUUGUUGCUGUUUUUUUCUUUUUCAGUGAUGAAGGUAGAGAAAGGCAAAAGGCCAAUUCCACAUAAAAUGCUAGUUAGUGGACAGGCAAUCCAUCGCAGUAAAAAAAUUUCAGGAAGUAUUGAAGCUAAGACGAAAAAAUAUUCAGGUACAGUGGAAAAAAUGAAAGUUUGUGGUAGAGAUAACAUAUAGGCAAUAUAUUUUGAUUCCUUUGUACAAAUCUGCAAAACAAAUGUGUUUUAUGUAACUUAUGGACUAAUAAAGUAUUUAUAUCUGAUAUUUAGAAUUGUAAGGGCUCAGAAAAAUACAAUGUGAAAAACUGUGACAGUAGCAUGUCUUUCCUAUAAUUUUCCAACCUUAAGAGAAAUAAUUUUCAAAUCCUUAAAAGUUGUUUCACCUUCUGGAUUUCACAUCUAGAACUCAGGAGAAGUCGUAUAGGUGUUCUUAGAGACCGGAUCUUUUUAUUUUUAUAUUUAUUUAUAUUUAUUUAUUUAUUUUGAGACGGCGUCUCGCUCUUUCACCCAGGCUAGAGUGCAGUGCCGCAAUCUCGGCUCACUGCGAGCUCCGCCUCCUGGGUUCACGCCAUUCUCCUGCCUCAGCCUCCUAAGUAGCUGGGACUACAGGUGCCUGCCACCAUGCCCGGCUAAUUUUUUGAAUUUUUAGUAGAGGUGGGGUUUCACCAUGUUAGCCAGGAUGGUCUCGAUCUCCUGACCUCGUGAUCUGGCCUCCUCUGCCUCCCAAAGUGCUGGUCGUGAGCCACCGCGCCCAGCCAAGACAGGAUCUUUUUAUUAAAGCUUAGACCCAAGUAUGUUUUUCUCAUGUGUUGUGUGCGAGCCUGGUAAACUCUCAUCUGCUUUUUUGGAUCCUAGAGAAGGCUUUGGCCAAAGAACACUUUGAAUUAACUCAGUGGUAAUGUCUUUUGUCUGAUAAGGGAAAUGGCUCUCAGUUUGAUGAAAUAUCUUUUGCAUGUAUUUAAAUACUGGUAAGAUAUUUCUCCCAGUUAACUUCUGAAAUUACUUCCUGGGUUCCGUUCUUGCCAGAAGAGCCCUACAAAGAAUUUUCAAGUAGAAACUUCAGGCUACAUGUGUCUCCACUCUAGACCUGGGUCCUUGGUUUUGUUCCCCGAUGAAAAGUAAUUGUGAGGCCAUUCAAGUCACAAUCUGAAAGAUGCUUUAAUUUUAUAAAACGGCAGAUCUCCCAGUAGCUUUGGUGUCAGUCUGAGUUUUACAGGAGGGGCCACCACCUUGGAGACUGGUACACAGAGAUUUCAGGAGAUGAUUCUAUUGGAAGAAAAGCCAAUUUCCUCCUUUGCUGUUUGCCUCAGGCCUCAUGAGACAGUGUAAGAACAUCAGAGCCUGACUUGGCUGUACUCACUGGUGAUAGUUUAUUCAUUCUAAGCCAGAUGUUUGGGGAUUUUCAUUUAUAAAAGGCAAAUUGGUGAGACAGUAGCUAAGAGACUGAAGGUGAGUAGGAGGUAUUCUCUGGUGAUCCGUUUAUUGACUAAAAGAGAUCCAGUUUCACUAACACCAGAGUUCCUCCAUCCAAUGGCCACAGCUUGAGAAAAUUUACCCCAGAAAAAGAGAUGGCAGGUCAGUUCCCCCAAGGCCUCCUCCUGGCUCAGCAUGGGUGAGAGAUGGGCUGGAGAGCAGAGGAUGUGGCACAGGCAGCUCUAAAACAGAGGACCCCUGACAGGGGACAGAGUCUUUGGAAUCUGACACAGUAAAAUAUUUGUAGACUGCCUUUUCUCAUUCAGUCUAGUUCCUGAUCCUUUUUUUGAGGGGGUGCGGAAGCUUCCUCUUUUCUCUCUCAAGUCAAAGCCUAUCCUAUCCUCCCUCUCCUCCCACUACCUCUCUACCUCCUCCUUCCUUCCACCCAGUAAAGCCAACCCUACCCUAGAAUUUGGGGUUGUGGAAUCAAUUGAAUUGGCAUAGAGACUCACAACAGUGAGGGCUGGAAUAUCCAAAUUACCUGGAGGCUCAGCUUAUCUCACUGGACUCAUAAAGAGAGAAAUUAUGGGUUUCCAGAAAUUGUAUUUUGUAGAUAUUACUAUUAGCAUUAUACAUUUUUAAUUUAUUUUCUUUUUGUUUUGAUAAGAUAAUAUCAAAUGACCCUUGAAGAGUUACAAAGCUUAAAUGCACCCUUUCAGGUAGGAAUUGGCCAGGUGAACUUUCCAAAUAUUCAUCUGGGUAAUUUGAUUUUCUUUUUGAAGAUUGAUUUUUCAGUGAAAAUCCUUUUAAUUCUAUAAAACAGCAAUGCAGAUUAAAUUCUUUUUAAACUGUCACUUCUUAAUGGAAUUAGAAACAAAUUGUGAAUGCAUCAGGGAAAUGAACAAAAGAGAUACAUGUUAGAAAUUGACAGAGUUUAGGUAAGUCUAAUUAGACAUUCAAUUCUUUGGACUUUGGCUCCUAGACUAAAGAAAAUGCAGCUAUGUUCAUAGCUAAUUAUUCUUUUUUGCUUUCAGGAGUAUGAAAAGAGAGGAAGACAGCUGCUGGAUCUGGAAACUUUCAAAUGCAUAAUGAAACAGAGUAUGAGGUCACAGAAUAAAGUAAAUGGGUUUUAUAAACAUUGGCUCAUUGAAACCACAGUUAAAACUUUAACCAUAUGAACCAAUUAGGCCAGAUGAUCUAUCUGUAAGAUCAUUCUCAGCUCUGAACUGUAAUUUCUACUUAAAACCCAUCUGAUUUACUGAACUGUUUACAUGGUAAAAUAUAUUUAAAUUACUUAGUACACUAGACCAACAAGAUAUUUAAAGACUUAUGUUAAAAACGAGAAAAGGCCGGGCGCGGUAGCUCACGCCUGUAAUCCCAGCACUUUGGGAGGCCAAGGCUGGCAGAUAGUUUGAGGUCAGGAAUUCAAGACCAGCCUGACCAACAUGGAGAAACCCUGUCUCUACUAAAAAUACAAAAUUAGCUGGGCAUGGUGGCCCAUGCCUGUAAUUCCAGCUAUUCAGGAGGCUGAGACAGGAGAAUCGCUUGAACCUGGGAGGCAGAGGUUGCAGUGAGCCGAGAUCGAGCCUUUGCACUCCAGCCUGGGCAACAAGAGCGAAACUCCAUCUCAAAAAAAAAAAAAAAAGGAGAAAGACUUUUAUUACAUCACUGGUUUUAUACGUAUUUUUGUCCGGAGAGGUUGGGCAUUUCCCUUACCUCCAUCUGCUGGAAUUAGGUAUUUUAAACUUUUUCUCUGCCACCUUGGUUAGCCUAGAAUAUGAAAUCUUAAUGAAUAAGGUUGCACUCAUAUCAUAAAAUAAAAUAUAUAUUAUAAAGGAACAAGCUGUUUAAGCUCUAUUUGUUAAGGUUUCAUGAUUAUGUCUGAAAUUAUAGGAAAAAAGUAUUCAAGGUAAAGCUCUAUGAUCUUGUUCCUGGAGUUUGAACAAAAAUACACUCUUGUCAGACUGUAGGCUGGUGAAGUCCCCAGGUGCCCUUUUCAAGGGCAGAGCCCCAGAUUCCAUGGCUACCGUGGGAGUUUAGGUGUGCUUAGCAUUUCACUUGCUGUGGGAAAAGGAAUGUUAAAUAACACAUAUUUUUUAAAAGUGUCCCUUUCUGUCUUAGUCUUUUCGGGCUGCUAUAACAAAACACCUUAGACUUGGUGGCUUAUAAACAAUAAAAAUUUGUUUCUUACAGUUCUGGAGGCUGCAAAGUCCAAGAUGAAGGCAGAUUCACUGCCUGGUGAGGAGGGCCUGCUUCCUCGAUCCAGGACAGCACCGUCUCACAGUGUGCUCACGUGUAUUAAACAAAUAGAACAACUGUUCAUGA
rnacentral:lncRNA from 10 species